ACCAAGCUGCUGUCUGAACUUGUCAUUGGCAACAUACUCAGCCCUAGAAGCUUCCACUACCAUGCGUUCAAUCUCCUUUUCAGUGAGCUCAAGAUCUGAAUAAAAGCGUCCUUCAGCCAGAAGAGCAUUAUCAAUUUGCUGAUCCUGUUGAGCUUUUAUUGCUGCUUUGACCUGAUCCUUAUCAACGUUCCUCCCUUGUAGAGAGCUAAACCCAAGGCCAGCACCAACAGUUAGUCGACGUGGAUCAACAAGUGAAUUGUA
rnacentral:misc_RNA from 1 species